UACGUAGGGGGCAAGCGUUGUCCGGAUUUAUUGGGCGUAAAGAGCGUGUAGGCGGCCAUGUAGGUCCGUUGUGAAAACUCGAGGCUCAACCUCGAGACGCCGAUGGAAACCAUGUGGCUAGAGUCCGGAAGAGGAGAGUGGAAUUCCUGGUGUAGCGGUGAAAUGCGCAGAUAUCAGGAGGAACACCAGCGGCGAAGGCGGCGCUCUGGGCCGGUACUGACACUGAGGAGCGAAAGCGUGGGGAUCAAACAGG
rnacentral:rRNA from 1 species